rnacentral:lncRNA from 1 species
UGAUGAUGCAGCUAUUUUCGAGGCCAAAAAAUCAUUUUACUGGGCAAGAAAAACAUCUCAUUCCUUUGUCGUGAAUAUCCUUGCUCAGGCUCUUUAUGAAUUAUUUUCUGCCACAGAUGAUUCCCUGCAUCAACUAAGAAAAGCCUGUUUUCUUUAUUUCAAACUUGGUGGCGAAUGUGUUGCGGGUCCUGUUGGGCUGCUUUCUGUGUAAAUUGUCUCCUAACCCUCUAGUUUUAAUUGGACACUUCUUUGCUGUUGCAAUCUAUGCCGUGUAUUUUUGCUUUAAGUCAGAACCUUGGAUUACAAAACCUCGAGCCCUUCUCAGUAGUGGUGCUGUAUUGUACAAAGCGUGUUCUGUAAUAUUUCCUCUAAUUUACUCAGAAAUGAAGUAUAUGGUUCAUUAAGCUUAAAGGGGAACCAUUUGUGAAUGAAUAUUUGGAACUUACCAAGUCCUAAGAGACUUUUGGAAGAGGAUAUAUAUAGCAUAGUACCAUACCACUUAUAAAGUGGAAACUCUUGGACCAAGAUUUGGAUUAAUUUGUUUUUGAAGUUUUUUGUAUAUAAAUAUGUAAAUACAUGCUUUAAUUUGCAAUUUAAAAUGAAGGGGUUAAAUAAGUUAGACAUUUAAAAGAAAUGAUUGUUACCAUAAAUUAGUGCUAAUGCUGAGGAGAACUACAGUUUUUCUUUUGAAUUUAGUAUUUGAGAUGAGUUGUUGGGACAUGCAAAUAAAAUGAAGAAUG